UACGUAGGGGGCAAGCGUUGUCCGGAUUUAUUGGGCGUAAAGAGCGUGUAGGCGGCCUGGUAGGUCUGCUGUGAAAACUCGAGGCUCAACCUCGAGCGGUCGGCAGAAACCAUCAGGCUAGAGUCCGGAAGAGGAGAGUGGAAUUCCUGGUGUAGCGGUGAAAUGCGCAGAUAUCAGGAAGAACACCUAUGGCGAAGGCAGCUCUCUGGGACGGUACUGACGCUGAGACGCGAAAGCGUGGGGAGCGAACAGG
rnacentral:rRNA from 1 species